GACGGGGGCCCGCACAAGCGGUGGAGUAUGUGGUUAAUUCGAUGCAACGCGAAGAACCUUACCUGGUCUUGACAUCCCGGAGACCCUUAGGAACUAGGGGUGCUUCCAUCUGGAAGAAUCUGGAGACAGGUGCUGCAUGGCUGUCGUCAGCUCGUGUCGUGAGAUGUUGGGUUAAGUCCCGCAACGAGCGCAACCCUUGCCUUUAGUUGCCAGCAGUUCGGCUGGGCACUCUAAAGGGACUGCCGGUGUUAAACCGGAGGAAGGUGGGGAUGACGUCAAGUCCUCAUGGCCUUUAUGACCAGGGCUACACACGUACUACAAUGGCCGAUACAAAGGGCAGCGACACUGCGAGGUGAAGCCAAUCCCGUAAAAUCGGUCUCAGUCCGGAUUGGAGUCUGCAACUCGACUCCAUGAAGUUGGAAUCGCUAGUAAUCGUGGAUCAGCAUGCCACGGUGAAUACGUUCCCGGGCCUU
rnacentral:rRNA from 1 species